CUGCCGGCGUGCCUAACACAUGCAAGUCGAGCGAGAAGCUUAUGUGAUGAAACUUCGGUAGAUUCUUUUAAGUGGAAAGCGGCGGACGGGUGAGUAACGCGUAGGCAACCUGCCCUUAGCAGGGGGAUAGCCAUUGGAAACGAUGAUUAAAACCCCAUAACGCAGCCAUAUCACAUGAUGAGGCUGCCAAAGAUUUAUCGGCUAAGGAUGGGCCUGCGUCUGAUUAGCUAGUUGGUGAGGUAACGGCUCACCAAGGCAACGAUCAGUAGCCGACCUGAGAGGGUGAUCGGCCACAUUGGAACUGAGACACGGUCCAAACUCCUACGGGAGGCAGCAGUGGGGAAUAUUGCACAAUGGGCGAAAGCCUGAUGCAGCAACGCCGCGUGAAGGAUGAAGGUCUUCGGAUCGUAAACUUCUGUCCCUGGGGAAGAAAAAAAUGACGGUACCCAUGGAGGAAGCCCCGGCUAACUACGUGCCAGCAGCCGCGGUAAUACGUAGGGGGCGAGCGUUAUCCGGAAUUAUUGGGCGUAAGGAGUGCGUAGGUGGUUAAUUAAGCGAGAGGUUUAAGGCUACGGCUUAACUGUAGUUCGCCUCCCGAACUGAUUAACUUGAGUGCAGGAGGGAAAGCGGAAUUCCUAGUGUAGCGGUGAAAUGCGUAGAUAUUAGGAGGAAC
rnacentral:rRNA from 1 species